UUCGCAAUGCCCGAAAGGGUGACGAAGCGACGCCGCGUGUGGGAAGAAGGCCUUCGGGUUGUAAACCACUGUUGGGAGUUAGGAAGUGUGGAGGUGUUAAUAGCGCUUUCACUUGACUAAAGCUCCAGAGGAAGCCACGGCCAACUCUGUGCCAGCAGCCGCGGUAAUACAGAGGCGGCAAGCGUUGUUCGGAAUUAUUGGGCGUAAAGAGCACGUAGGCGGCUCUGCAAGUCAGCUGUGAAAGCCUUCUGCUUAACGGAAGAACGGCAGUUGAAACUACAGGGCUUGAGUGCGGGAGGGGAGAGUGGAACUUCUGGUGGAGCGGUGAAAUGCGUAGAUAUCAGAAGGAACGCCGGCGGCGAAAGCGGCUCUCUGGUCCGUAACUGACGCUGAGUGUGCGAAAGCUAGGGGAGCAAACGGGAUUAGAUACCCCGGUAGUCCUAGCCGUAAACGAUGGGCACUAAGUAGAGGGGUUUU
rnacentral:rRNA from 1 species